rnacentral:rRNA from 1 species
UCUUGGUCAUUUAGAGGAAGUAAAAGUCGUAACAAGGUUUCCGUAGGUGAACCUGCGGAAGGAUCAUUAAAGAAAUUUAAUAAUUUUGAAAAUGGAUUUUUUUGUUUUGGCAAGAGCAUGAGAGCUUUUACUGGGCAAGAAGACAAGAGAUGGAGAGUCCAGCCGGGCCUGCGCUUAAGUGCGCGGUCGUGCUAGGCUUGUAAGUUUCUUUCUUGCUAUUCCAAACGGUGAGAGAUUUCUGUGCUUUUGUUAUAGGACAAUUAAAACCGUUUCAAUACAACACACUGUGGAGUUUUCAUAUCUUUGCAACUUUUUCUUUGGGCAUUCGAGCAAUCGGGGCCCAGAGGUAACAAACACAAACAAUUUUAUCUAUUCAUUAAAUUUUUGUCAAAAACAAGAAUUUUCGUAACUGGAAAUUUUAAAAUAUUAAAAACUUUCAACAACGGAUCUCUUGGUUCUCGCAUCGAUGAAGAGCGCAGCGAAAUGCGAUACGUAAUGUGAAUUGCAGAAUUCCGUGAAUCAUCGAAUCUUUGAACGCACAUUGCGCCCCUUGGUAUUCCAGGGGGCAUGCCUGUUUGAGCGUCAUUUCCUUCUCAAACAUUCUGUUUGGUAGUGAGUGAUACUCUUUGGAGUUAACUUGAAAUUGCUGGCCUUUUCAUUGGAUGUUUUUUUUCCAAAGAGAGGUUUCUCAGCGUGCUUGAGGUAUAAUGCAAGUACGGUCGUUUUAGGUUUUACCAACUGCGGCUAAUCUUUUUUUAUACUGAGCGUAUUGGAACGUUAUCGAUAAGAAGAGAGCGUCUAGGCGAACAAUGUUCUUAAAGUUUGACCUCAAAUCAGGUAGGAGUACCCGCUGAACUUAAGCAUAUCAAUAAGCGGAG